AAAUCCACAAGCACGUGUGACUUACAAGUUGACUGAUAAUUCGCAUAUACAUACACAAAUGCAAAUGCAUUCGCUCGUUGCAAAACGGUCAGCGAAUAAGCAGAGCAAGAGGGAAACACGAAAUUGGUUUUUGGUUGAGCACAGACCAUUCGUUCAAGAGACACUAGUGAACGGUUCUUGUCUGAUUUUUUGCGCAAGUGGUGCGCAAAAAACAGUUAUUUGGUGACUGCAAGAAACGGUCAACUGUUAUUUGCGAACUCUGAUUUUUAGGUAAAAUAUGUAACCGACCGGCUUGGUUAUGGUCUCUAUGGAAAGGGUCAUCAAAUCUCUCUAAAGCCAAGGUUGUUCUUAAAUAUGUUAUUUAUCAUAAUCAAACAAGAUCGGGUCCCCCGACGUCCCACCACGAAUUUCCCAGGCAAAAGAUACCUUCAACUCAGCGUAAAGAACGCGCGGCUUAGUGCAAAUUCUGCUACAAGCGCAGUCGCUCCGCAGUACAAAAUUGUAUGUCGGACAUACAUUUUUUCCUGUAUUGGCGGCUUGUUUUUCAAUCCCUGACUUUAUAAUAAUUUUAAAUGAAUAAAAAUUAUUUUCUUUAAAAUGUA